rnacentral:sRNA from 1 species
CACCGCCUGGGGAGUACGACCGCAAGGUUAAAACUCAAAUGAAUUGACGGGGACCCGCACAAGUAGUGGAGCAUGUGGUUUAAUUCGAAGAUACGCGCAGAACCUUACCAACACUUGACAUGUUCGUCGCGACUUUAAGAGAUUAAAGUUUUCGGUUCGGCCGGACGAGACACAGGUGCUGCAUGGCUGUCGUCAGCUCGUGUCGUGAGAUGUUGGGUUAAGUCCCGCAACGAGCGCAACCCUCACUUUUAGUUGCCAUCAUUUAGUUGGGCACUCUGAAAGAACUGCCAGUGAUAAGCUGGAGGAAGGUGGGGAUGACGUCAAGUCCUCAUGGCCCUUACGUGUUGGGCUACACACGUGCUACAAUGGUAUCUACAACAGGAAGCAAAACGGCGACGUUAAGCAAAUCCUAAAAAGAUAUCUCAGUUCGGAUUGCACUCUGCAACUCGAGUGCAUGAAGCUGGAAUUACUAGUAAUCGUGGAUCAGCGUGCCACGGUGAAUGCGUUCCCGGGUCUUGUACACACCGCCCGUCACACCAUGGGAGUUGGUUCUACCUUAAGGCAAGGUUUAAUACCCUUGACCACGGUAUAGUCAGCGACUGGGGUGAAGUCGUAACAAGGUAGCCGUAGGGGAACCUGCGGCUGGAUUACCUCCUUUCUAAGGAUGAGUGAAAGUUAAUUUCACUCUAAAUAAUAUACAUAGGUAAUGUUGACCGUCCUCAUUUCUCUUCUUAAAAAUAGUGUUUCUCUUGCAUGGGGGCCGGUAGCUCAGUUGGUUAGAGCACACCCUUGAUAAGGGUGGGGUCGAAAGUUCGAGUCUUUCUCGGCCCACCAAAUAAAUUUUAAGGGGGAUUAGCUCAGCUGGGAGAGCGCCUGAUUUGCAUUCAGGAGGUCAGCGGUUCGAUCCCGCUAUCCUCCACCAAAAAAGCACUUAGCUAUAAAAACUGUAAAUAAAAAAAUAAUAUCAAUAUCUAUAUCCGAACAUUAAUUUAAUUUUGUAAUUAAUUAAUGUUCAAUUAUAAAAAUUUGAUUCAACACAGAAUUUUUUUCUG